rnacentral:rRNA from 1 species
UACGGAGGGUGCGAGCGUUGUCCGGAAUCACUGGGCGUAAAGGGCGCGUAGGCGGUUCGUUAAGUUGCUGGUGAAAUCCCGGGGCUCAACUCCGGGGCUGCCAGUAAGACUGGCGGGCUAGAGCACGGUAGAGGCAGAUGGAAUUCCCGGUGUAGCGGUGGAAUGCGUAGAUAUCGGGAAGAAUACCGGUGGCGAAGGCGGUUCUCUGGGCAUGUCCUGACGCUGAGGAGCGAAAGUGUGGGGAGCGAACAGG